AGAGUUUGAUCCUGGCUCAGGAUGAACGACUAGCUACAGGCUUAACACAUGCAAGUCGAGGGGCAGCAUGGUCUUAGCUUGCUAAGGCCGAUGGCGACCGGCGCACGGGUGAGUAACACGUAUCCAACCUGCCGUCUACUCUUGGACAGCCUUCUGAAAGGAAGAUUAAUACAAGAUGGCAUCAUGAGUUCACAUGUUCACAUGAUUAAAGGUUUUCCGGUAGACGAUGGGGAUGCGUUCCAUUAGAUAGUAGGCGGGGUAACGGCCCACCUAGUCUUCGAUGGAUAGGGGUUCUGAGAGGAAGGUCCCCCACAUUGGAACUGAGACACGGUCCAAAACUCCUACGGGAGGCAGCA
rnacentral:rRNA from 1 species